rnacentral:lncRNA from 1 species
CUAUGUACGAGCAAUAUAUUUUUAAAAACACCCCUUAGGAUCUUUGUCUUCAGCUUUCCAACAGAGCUUUGGCUUUCUUCAUCCUCUCCGCUAUACAUCCACUGGCUCCUGAUUCUGGGUUCUUAGAUUCACUCUCAGAUGCUGAUUGAUCGGACUUUUCACUGGGGGAUUGAAAUCUUGAACUGCUUUCUCAAAGCCUCAGAAGCUAAAGUCAGGUAGAGACUUUUGGAACAGGUUAAAACAAGCCAGGUCUUCCCAUGGAUGUACAGCAAAUGAAGACACAGCCAGAACAGGUAGGGGCAAAGCAAAACUUUGAGCAUUUAGGUGCAAUUGUUGGACAACAUAUUGGAAACAAGUAUUGGUGUCCAGAAGAAGGAG